rnacentral:rRNA from 1 species
UACGUAGGGUGCAAGCGUUGUCCGGAAUUAUUGGGCGUAAAGAGCUUGUAGGCGGUUUGUCGCGUCUGCUGUGAAAUUUCGGGGCUCAACCCCGAACUUGCAGUGGGUACGGGCAGACUAGAGUGUGGUAGGGGAGACUGGAAUUCCUGGUGUAGCGGUGAAAUGCGCAGAUAUCAGGAGGAACACCGAUGGCGAAGGCAGGUCUCUGGGCCAUAACUGACGCUGAGGCGCGAAGGCUAGGGGAGCAAACAGG